GACGAACGCUGGCGGCGUGCUUAACACAUGCAAGUCGAACGGAAAGGCCCUGCUUUUGUGGGGUGCUCGAGUGGCGAACGGGUGAGUAACACGUGAGUAACCUGCCCUUGACUUUGGGAUAACUUCAGGAAACUGGGGCUAAUACCGGAUAGGAGCUCCUGCUGCAUGGUGGGGGUUGGAAAGUUUCGGCGGUUGGGGCUGGAGUCGCGGCUUAUCAGCUGGUUGGUGGGGUAGUGGCUUACCAAGGCUUUGACGGGUGGCCGGCCUGAGAGGGUGACCGGCCACGUUGGGACUGCGAUGCGGCCCAGACUCCUACGGGAGGCAGCAGUGGGGAAUAUUGCACAAUGGGCGGAAGCCUGAUGCAGCAACGCCGCGUGCGGGAUGACGGCCUUCGGGUUGUAAACCGCUUUCGCCUGUGACGAAGCGUGAGUGACGGUAAUGGGUAAAGAAGCACCGGCUAACUACGUG
rnacentral:rRNA from 1 species